UUGUGGAGGAGGACGCCGAAGGUGGGGCUAAUGACUGGGGUGAAGUCGUAACAAGGUAGCCGUACCGGAAGGUGCGGCUGGAUCACCUCCUAACAGGGAGACAACAAAAUGUUUAAUAUUAUUAUUUUGUCACCUUAGGUCGAUCGGUAUCUCACGUUUUUAAUUUAUUAAGAAUUUCAUUUCCUAAGUUUUUCUAGGUCACACCCAUUAUUUUUCCUGGGCCAUUAGCUCAGGUGGUUAGAGCGCACCCCUGAUAAGGGUGAGGUCCCUGGUUCAAGUCCAGGAUGGCCCAUAUCUCUAUGUUGGGGGUAUAGCUCAGUUGGUAGAGCGCCUGCUUUGCAAGCAGGAUGUCAGCGGUUCGAGUCCGCUUACCUCCACUGAUUACCACCUCUUCCAUAACCGGUAGAAAGGAAAUGUUUUGAGUUGUGAUCAAAUUCUGAAAGAAUCUAGCUUCCUAAUGAAAUCAUUAAGAUGCUGGACUCAUUGAAUUUAUUUCAUUGUUUUCAGAGAACCUUGACAACUGCAUAGAUUAUUUUUAAAGACAAUAAGCAUCUUUAAUGAUGCAGAUUUAUUAUUAUUGUGAAUGCAUUAAUAACAAUUCUAUUAAGCUGAUGCUUCAAUUUGAAGNUAUUGGUCAAGCUACAA
rnacentral:misc_RNA from 1 species